CAUUAAGGAUGCGAUGGGAACCAACCAGGCCCUUUGUGGAACAAACAACGAGUCUUAGUGCAUGAGGGCUCUAAAAAUACUCCUCCUGCUGUCCUAGUAACUCUAAGUGUUAAACCCAGCCACUUUUGUGGCGUUGUCUGAGUCUAAUGACCAUGAUACACUAGCAAAUUUUUGGGACCCAAAUAAAAACAUGGGUUUUACCAGUGUGUACCUUCCCGGGAAGGUUUGUACUAGUGUUGUCAAAAGACCCGGUACUUGAAAAAAAUGAAACCGUUACAGUACCAGGUUUUUUUAAGUACCGGUUGUACCGAGUACCCAGUCAACCUGGUUCUUGAUGCGUUAUCCGAAAGGUGCGCAGAUUAGAUUAGAUUAGAUACAACUUUAUUGUCAUUAUGCAGAGUACAAGUACAGAGCUAGCACUGAGACAUGGCGACAUCAAAAAGAGGAAACACACCAAACUAACAAAACACCUUAAAGACAGACACCCAGAUCAAAUGAAAGAGUUCAAGUAGGAUGAUAUUGAGGAUGUGAGCAGUCCUUUCACCUUUAAGAGUUGUCUUCAAAAUGGAGCUUGUUCUUUUUCCUAAGUUUCAGUCUGAGCGCGAGAGGUCCCACCACACUCAACUGCCGGCAUUCACACUCCGUCCUCUCUCACUGCACACCUUCCUGUUGAGAUUGGCUCACUUCGAUUCCUCUAAGAUGAAUGUCUCUCUGAACCUCUUGUGGCAUUUGAGUGAACUGCAGUUCCAGGUUCCAGCUCUGGGAACUACAGAGGAAUUUGCUGCAUCACAGACCAAAUCUGUGUACACAACAUUCCUUUGA
ensembl:lncRNA